CCUACGGGUGGCAGCAGUGGGGAAUAUUGGACAAUGGGCGAAAGCCUGAUCCAGCCAUGCCGCGUGUGUGAAGAAGGCCUUCGGGUUGUAAAGCACUUUCAGUGGGGAAGAAAGCCUUGGGGCUAAUACCCUCGAGGAAGGACAUCACCCACAGAAGAAGCACCGGCUAACUCCGUGCCAGCAGCCGCGUUAAUACGGAGGGUGCGAGCGUUAAUCGGAAUUACUGGGCGUAAAGCGCGCGUAGGCGGUCUGAUAAGCCGGUUGUGAAAGCCCCGGGCUCAACCUGGGAACGGCAUCCGGAACUGUCAGGCUAGAGUGCAGGAGAGGAAGGUAGAAUUCCCGGUGUAGCGGUGAAAUGCGUAGAGAUCGGGAGGAAUACCAGUGGCGAAGGCGGCCUUCUGGACUGACACUGACGCUGAGGUGCGAAAGCGUGGGUAGCAAACAGGAUUAGAUACCCUAGUAGUC
rnacentral:rRNA from 1 species